rfam:Ixodes scapularis strain Wikel colony gcontig_1108379001786, whole genome shotgun sequence.
CCCUGGUUAAUUCAGUUGGUAGAGCACUCCUCUGAAAAUGGAGAGAUCCCGGGUUCGAUAUCCGGACCAGGCG